UACGUAGGCAGCAAGCGUUGUUCGGAGUUACUGGGCGUAAAGCGUGCGUAGGCGGUGCCCUAAGUCUGUUGUGAAAUCUCCCGGCUUAACUGGGAGGGUGCGGUGGAAACUGGGGUGCUUGAGUGUGGGAGAGGUUAGCGGAAUUCCUGGUGUAGCGGUGAAAUGCGUAGAUAUCAGGAGGAACACCGGUGGUGUAGACGGCUAACUGGACCACGACUGACGCUGAGGCACGAAAGCGUGGGUAGCAAACAGG
rnacentral:rRNA from 1 species